AUGGAGCGGCGCUGGCCCCUGGGGCUAGGGCUGGUGCUGCUGCUCUGCGCCCCGCUGCCCCCGGGGGCGCGCGCCAAGGAAGUUACUCUGAUGGACACAAGCAAGGCACAGGGAGAGCUUGGCUGGCUGCUGGAUCCCCCAAAAGAUGGGUGGAGUGAACAGCAACAGAUACUGAAUGGGACACCCCUGUACAUGUACCAGGACUGCCCAAUGCAAGGACGCAGAGACACUGACCACUGGCUUCGCUCCAAUUGGAUCUACCGCGGGGAGGAGGCUUCCCGUGUCCACGUGGAGCUGCAGUUCACCGUGCGGGACUGCAAGAGUUUCCCUGGGGGAGCCGGGCCUCUGGGUUGCAAGGAGACCUUCAACCUUCUGUACAUGGAGAGUGAUCAAGAUGUGGGCAUUCAGCUCCGACGGCCCUUGUUCCAGAAGGUAACCACGGUGGCUGCAGACCAGAGCUUCACCAUUCGAGACCUCGCAUCUGGCUCCAUGAAGCUGAAUGUGGAGCGCUGCUCUCUGGGCCGCCUGACCCGCCGUGGCCUCUACCUCGCUUUCCACAACCCGGGUGCCUGUGUGGCCCUGGUGUCUGUCCGGGUCUUCUACCAGCGCUGUCCUGAGACCCUGAAUGGCUUGGCCCAAUUCCCAGACACUCUGCCUGGCCCCGCUGGGUUGGUGGAAGUGGCAGGGACCUGCUUGCCCCACGCGCGGGCCAGCCCCAGGCCCUCAGGUGCACCCCGCAUGCACUGCAGCCCUGAUGGCGAGUGGCUGGUGCCUGUAGGACGGUGCCACUGUGAGCCUGGCUAUGAGGAAGGUGGCAGUGGCGAGGGAUGUGUUGCCUGCCCUAGCGGCUCCUACCGGAUGGACAUGGACACACCCCAUUGUCUCACGUGCCCCCAGCACAGCACUGCUGAGUCUGAGGGGGCCACCAUCUGUACCUGUGAGAGCGGCCAUUACAGAGCUCCCGGGGAGGGCCCCCAGGUGGCAUGCACAGGUCCCCCCUCGGCCCCCCGAAACCUGAGCUUCUCUGCCUCAGGGACUCAGCUCUCCCUGCAUUGGGAACCCCCAGCAGAUACGGGGGGACGCCAGGAUGUCAGAUACAGUGUGAGGUGUUCCCAGUGUCAGGGCACAGCACAGGACGGGGGGCCCUGCCAGCCCUGUGGGGUGGGCGUGCACUUCUUGCCGGGGGCCCAGGGGCUCACCACACCUGCAGUGCACGUCAAUGGCCUUGAACCUUACGCCAACUACACCUUUAACGUGGAAGCCCAAAAUGGAGUGUCAGGGCUGGGCAGCUCUGGCCAUGCCAGCACCUCGGUCAGCAUCAGCAUGGGGCAUGCAGGUGAGAGGCUGAGAGGGGCUGGGACAGGGACCUGGUGGAGACAGAAGGGCUUAAGACAACAGGACAAAUUGAUGGGCAGGAAGCCAUAGAAAAGUUACUAAGGUUAUUUCCUUUUUCCUUACAUAUCCAACCUUAUCCCUCUGGACCCCCAGAGUCACUGUCAGGCCUGUCUCUGAGACUGGUGAAGAAAGAACCGAGGCAACUAGAGCUGACCUGGGCGGGGUCCCGGCCCCGAAGCCCUGGGGCGAACCUGAGCUAUGAGCUGCAUGUGCUGAACCAGGAUGAAGAACGGUACCAGAUGGUUCUAGAACCCAGGGUCUUGCUGACAGAGCUGCAGCCUGACACCACAUACAUCGUUAGAGUCCGAAUGCUGACCCCACUGGGUCCUGGCCCUUUCUCCCCUGAUCAUGAGUUUCGGACCAGCCCACCAGUGUCCAGGGGCCUGACUGGAGGAGAGAUUGUGGCCGUCAUCUUUGGGCUGCUGCUUGGUGCAGCCUUGCUGCUUGGGAUUCUCGUUUUCCGGUCCAGGAGAACCCAGCGGCAGAGGCAGCAGAGGCAGUGUGACCACACCACCGAUGUGGAUCGGGAGGACAAGCUGUGGCUGAAGCCCUAUGUGGACCUCCAGGCAUACGAGGACCCUGCACAGGGAGCCUUGGACUUUACCCAGGAGCUCGAUCCAGCGUGGCUGAUGGUGGACACUGUCAUAGGAGAAGGAGAGUUUGGGGAAGUGUAUCGAGGGACCCUGAGGCUCCCCAGCCAGGACUGCACGACUGUGGCCAUUAAGACCUUAAAAGACACAUCCCCAGGUGGCCAGUGGUGGAACUUCCUUCGAGAGGCAACUAUCAUGGGCCAGUUUAGCCACCCGCAUAUUCUGCAUCUGGAAGGCGUUGUCACAAAGCGAAAGCCGAUCAUGAUCAUCACUGAAUUUAUGGAGAAUGGAGCCCUGGAUGCCUUCCUGAGGGGAGGAAAGAUCCCUAUCCGUUGGACAGCCCCUGAAGCCAUUGCCCAUCGGAUCUUCACCACGGCCAGUGAUGUGUGGAGCUUUGGGAUUGUGAUGUGGGAGGUGCUGAGCUUUGGGGACAAGCCUUAUGGGGAGAUGAGCAAUCAGGAGGUUAUGAAGAGCAUUGAGGAUGGGUACCGGUUGCCCCCUCCUGUGGACUGCCCUGCCCCUCUGUAUGAGCUCAUGAAGAACUGCUGGGCAUAUGACCGUGCCCGCCGGCCACACUUCCAGAAGCUUCAGGCACAUCUGGAGCAACUGCUUGCCAACCCCCACUCCCUGCGGACCAUUGCCAACUUUGACCCCAGGGUGACUCUCCGCCUGCCCAGCCUGAGCGGCUCAGAUGGGAUCCCGUAUCGAAGCGUCUCUGAGUGGCUGGAGUCCAUACGCAUGAAACGCUACAUCCUGCACUUCCACUCGGCUGGGCUGGACACCAUGGAGUGUGUGCUGGAGCUGACCGCUGAGGACCUGACGCAGAUGGGAAUCACACUGCCCGGGCACCAGAAGCGCAUUCUUUGCAGUAUUCAGGGAUUCAAGGACUGAGCCCUCCUCUCAUCCCAUGCCCAAUCAGGGAGCAAGGAC
rnacentral:sRNA from 1 species